UACGGAGGAUCCGAGCGUUAUCCGGAUUUAUUGGGUUUAAAGGGUGCGUAGGCGGGAGAUUAAGUCGGUGGUGAAAUUUUGCAGCUCAACUGUAAAAGUGCCAUUGAUACUGGUUUCCUUGAGUGUGGAUGAAGUAGGCGGAAUUUGUGGUGUAGCGGUGAAAUGCAUAGAUAUCACGAGGAACUCCGAUUGCGCAGGCAGCUUACUAAACCAUAACUGACGCCCAGGCACGAAGGCGUGGGGAUCAAACAGGAUUAGAUACCCGCGUA
rnacentral:rRNA from 1 species